rnacentral:pre_miRNA from 1 species
AAUAGAUGACGUCGUUGAUUUUUUCUUACAUGUUUGACCAUUCAUCUUAUAAAAAAAUUUUAUGUAAUUAUAAUUUAUUUUGUUAUGAGUUGUUUUAUCACCGAUAGUACUUUAAGUGUGAUUUAUAUCUUAUAUAUUUGCAUAAAAUUUUUAAAUAAGACGAAUAGUUAAACAUAUGAGAAAAAGUCAAUGGCGUCAUCUCUU